ACACUACCUACUCUAUGUUCAAAGACACCCAAACAUCUUGCUCCGCUGGACAAUAUAUAUAAGGAUGGCUCUGCAUGUUCAAGUCUUGAGCACCCACUUCUCUUAAAACAAAGUAGCAUCUUGCCCAUCUCAUCACAGUCCAGACGAAGAGUGGAAAGGAUCUUAGAGAAGUCACUCAAUCUGGAACUGGGGACCUAUUUGGAUUUUCAGGAUUUAGGGAGUUCUGUAAUACACAACACUACAAACGAUAAUGUCAUUUCAGACAAGAAAGGCUUUCAAAACAACAGAAAACUCUGAUUUUCAGAGAAAGUCUCCAAGUAUGAACUGCUGCACUUUCUCUGAAGGACCUGAAAACAUAACCAGACAAAUACCUACAGUCAGGGAAUCCUGUUCUGUUGCAUGUGAGAAACAACUCACUGCUCUAGAUACUGGUGUAUUAGAAAAAUCAUCACAUGAGAAGAAAAAACCAAUUAAGAUGAUCAAGAGAAAUCCCAGUACAGGCAAAACAUCUAUUCAGACAAAUCAGUCAUUCAAUGUUCUGGCACACAGAAAACAAAGUACUGUUAAAACCACCAAUUCACUCAAAGGAGCAACUCAGAGAAAGUAAACCCACCAGCAUAGUUAUUGCAGGAGAGACGACUAACAAAUAUUUGCCAAGAGCACCUAUAAUGGCUUGUAAAAAACUGCAACAAGGUUGGUCUCUGAACCUUUUCAACACAUGAAGUUGAGUGAUGACAAAGUAAGCAAUUACAGUCAAAACCAACUUCACAGAGAUCUGAGAAGUGCAAGAGCAUCCAAAAAGCCAGCAACAGGACCAAUACAGUGAGCAAGGUCUGUCGUGGAUUAUGUCACUUACAAAGACAUGUUUCUGAAGCUCAGUCAGGGAGAUGAAGGUCCAGCAAUCUACGAAAUGUUUGCAACUCCAGUUUAUGAGAAUCUUAGCGCAGACAGUUCUGCAGAGAGAACCAGACAAGUUAAAAGACAGAUCAAUGAAAAAAUAAGGGGCCAAAAAAAGGGGGUUAACCAAAGGAAACAAGCUCAAUCCAAGAGAUCCAGUCGAGCUAAAUGCAGGCAGCUCAAGCGGAGGGAUAAUGUUACCAAAGGGAUAAAGAAACGCCCACCUUCUCCAGAGAAUAAAUGCCAUGUCCUUGUAAUCUCUGCUUGUGGAACUGUCCAGCAGAGCACAUCUGAAAUGCACAUCAAGGGAGAUGGUAGAGAAAUUUCAAGUGCAGAAAGACAAUAUACUUCCAUACUAUCAGUGACUGAGGAAGUACUUUCCAACAUUGUAUCCAAAACAAGUCUCAUAAAGGAAAUCAUACUUCAAGAACAAACUCUGAUUAAUGCAAGUCCCAAAAGUGAACCUGAAAUAUCAUAUGCGACCAAAUUGCCAUCACAGCCCCUUAUCAACACCUGGACAAGUGACGGAACGGCGUCACCUUUGUACCAGAGGCUUUUAGAGGAGGUUGGUGAUGGACCUCUCACAGAUGACCUGCUGAGGUCUUUGGCAGAGGAGUUGAUCUCACUCAAGAGAAGAGACGUUGAAACAUUCAAGACUGAAAAGGAAGAUAGCACAGAGUUCAAAUAUAACUCGCCUUCAAAAUGGUGUGUCCUCAGGUGAAAUGCAUUACUCUAACGGAUCUUGCUUAGAUGAUGCUAUCACAUGGACAAAAGGAGAGGUUCUGGGUAGAGGAGCUUAUGGAACGGUAGGUAUUUAAAUGCAGUCAUUUUAAAGCACCCUUCUUAGCUAUAGUAUAAACAAUCAUGAUUUUCAAAAUGUUCUCCAAGCAUAAUCAAUUACAAAGCUAUUUCUAUUCAUAGGUGUAUUGUGGACUAACCAGUCAAGGUCAGCUGAUUGCAGUAAAACAGGUGGCACUGAAUGCUUCAACUUCAGAGAUGGCAGAAAAAGAAGAAGAAAAGAGAAGUGGAUCUUCUUAAGACCCUUCAUCACACUAACAUUGUUGGUUUCUUGGGCUCAGCUCUCUGUGAGAAUGCUGUAAGCAUCUUCAUGGAGUACAUGUUCCAGCUGGGUCCAUCUCAAACAUCCUGAGCCGGUUCGGACCCUUGCCAGAGAAGGUCUUCAUUCUGUACACAUGACAAAUUCUGGAAGGUGUUGCCUAUCUUCAUGCUAACAGGGUCAUCCAUAGAGAUCUGAAGGGGAACAACAUUAUGCUUAUGCCCAACGGAGCUCAUUGGGGCUCAAAAGGGCUUAAUGCCAUCUCUGUCUGAUGACUUCUCUACAAAUGCACAGGGCUUUGUCAAGGCUUGCCUAACCAGGUAAUUUGCUUUUACUCAAAAAUGAAAUUGCUCUGGUUAUUUUGUGCCAAGGAGUUUUUUUUAUAUUUUUGUAAAAUCUCCAGAUUAUUAUCUUAGGUGUUUUGUAACAGUGGAACAAUUUUCCUCUUUGCAGAGAUCCAAAGCAACGACCUUCAGUAGAGGAACUGUUAAGACAUCCAUUCAUCUUUUAUCACAGCCAAGCCUGCAGUAGGCCAAUGAACUGAAAACUUGAUACACCAAAUCAAAAAGUGACUUUUAAAAACCAUGAUACAAAGCAAACUGCCAUUGUGAUCCAACAUAAUUUAACAUGGAGAAAAAUCUAAUUCAUAAAAUAAUAGUGAAGAUCUGUAAAUAGUUAUUUGACAAAUGUGCCAAUAAGUUCUUAACACAAUAAAUGAUCACAUAAAGACUGAGGUUAAGGUAGUGGAAACCAUGGAAUUUAUUAUUAAAUCUAAAUAAAACUGGGAAAAGACAAAAAAAUAAAAAAUAAGUGCCAGGGUUUGCCCUUGCCUUAUCCAACUGCAAUUCAGUGAUCCAAAGUAAAAUCAUGGCGUGUACAAUGCUGGCCUUAUUUACCAAUGGAUUCACACUAAAAAGAAUCAAAAUCAAAUAAUCAAAACCAUUCAUCCAUAUUCAGAAAUAAUGUUGUGAAUGCCCAGAUCUCUUUGGGUCAGCACUGUGAUAAUGAAUAAUAAUCUCCUCAUUUUUUUUACUGACUUACAGUUGCACAAAUAGGCUAUUGCUUCAAGCCAAGAAAUAUAUAAAAUGCACUUCACAGCGAAGGUUAUGUAAACUUCAUAGAACUAUACUUUUUGAGGCACAGCCUUUGGCAUCCAGCUUAAGGUCAUCUUGAAGUUCAAAAAAGGUAUAAAUUGCAUGGCCCCUGACAACAUGCCAGGUAAUAGUAGGGUGUGGAUUGCCUGCUAGUUCACCCUCUCCUGAUAGCAACAUGGAACACCAGUUCUAGAGCACAUCACUGGAAGGCUGUGCUAGAGAUGCCAAUGAUAGAUUCUAACACUGAGUCACAAAAUCCCCCCUACCCCCUAUAUAUAUAUAUAUAUUUUUUUUUUUUACAAGCAGCUCCAAACCUGAGAAGUUAUGGUACAGCUUAUAACAUACGAGAAUGUAUGUAAAUUUUCUUCACAAUCUGUAAACAACUAUCUCGUCCCUUUCAUUAUAAACAUGCAGUUCAUUUAGAAGGUAUCAGAUCAGGGGAAAGGAAACAACAAAACAUUCAAGGAACUAUGGAACUUAAAUCUUGAUUCUGAAUUCAUUCUACUAACUUUGUUUAACAAAUGAGAGGAGCUUCAGUCAUUUUAAAGGGUGCUUUCAGUCUUACAAAUUUUCAUUGUGGCAAAAACUUUCAUCACUCAUUAUGCUUUUAUCAUAAAAAGUUUUUUUUUUUUUUUUUUACUAUAUUGGCCCUGACAUUCGUAUACUGGCUCACGCAUACAUACAGACUGCUAGUGAAGGAAUACUGAGGAAAGCAGCAGUUAUACAGAGAUGGCGAGACUGAACCGAACUGCCAGAAGAUCGGGAAGCAUUUUUAUUUUCUUUCUAUUACUCUUCACAUUCCUGUUUUUUUUUCCCUCUUCCUAAUAAUGAAAUCUAUGCUUGAUUUUCUUUUAUAUUUUAUCCUCUUUUCUAUCAGUUUAAGAGUCCAUUUCUUGGGCACUUAACAGCGACUCAAGCGUGUCAAAAGUAUCUUUGUAGUCUGUGUGUUGGC
ensembl:lncRNA